ensembl:lncRNA
UAGGGGAGGUGUUGCUGUAUAUAUUCAGAGCCAUAUCCCUGUAAUGUUAAUAGAGGAGGUGUUGUAUAUAUUCAGAGCCAUAUCCCUGUAAUGUUUAUAGGGGAGGUGUUGUAUAUAUUCAGAGUCAUAUCCCUGUAAUGUUUAUAGGGGAGGUGUUACUGUACAUAGUCAGAGCCAUAUCCCUGUAAUGUUUAUAGGGGAGGUGUUGCUGUAUAUAUUCAGUCAUAUCCCUGUAAUGUUUAUAGGGGAGGUGUUGUAUAUAUUCAGAGCCAUAUCCCUGUAAUGUUUAUAGGGGAGGUGUUGUAUAUAUUCAGAGUCAUAUCCCUGUAAUGUUUAUAGGGGAGGUGUUACUGUAUAUAGUCAGAGCCAUAUCCCUGUAAUGUUUAUAGGGGAGGUGUUGCUGUAUAUAUUCAGUCAUAUCCCUGUAAUGUUUAUAGGGGAGGUGUUGUAUAUAUUCAGAGUCAUAUCCCUGUAAUGUUUAUAGGGGAGGUGUUGUUGUAUAUAUUCAGAGCCAUAUCCCUGUAAUGUUUAUAGGGGAGGUGUUGCUGUAUAUAUUCAGUCAUAUCCCUGUAAUGUUUAUAUGGGAGGUGUUGUUGUAUAUAUUCAGUCAUAUCCCUGUAAUGUUUAUAUGGGAGGUGUUGUAUAUAUUCAGAGCCAUAUCCCUGUAAUGUUUAUAGGGGAGGUGUUGUAUAUAUUCAGAGCCAUAUCCCUGUAAUGUCAAUAUGGGAGGUGUUGUAUAUAUUCAGAGCCAUAUCCCUGUAAUGUUUAUAUGGGAGGUGUUGU